rnacentral:rRNA from 1 species
UAACAAAAACAUGGUUUUUUGAUUAUAAUUUAAAAUCGGUUCUGCUCACUGAAUAAUUAAUUUUAAAGAGCUGCAGUAUUUUGACUGUGCAAAGGUAGCAAAAUCAUUUGUUUUUUUAUUGUAAACUGGAAUGAAAGAGUUGAUGAGAUAUAUACUGUCUCAAUUUAAUAUAUAGAAAUUGAAAUUUAAGUUAAAAUUCUUAAAUUUAUUUAUUAGACGAGAAGACCCUAUAGAAUUUUAUAAAUUUUGUAAAUUUUUUUUGUUAAGAUUAAUUUAAAAUAUUUUACAUAUAAUUUAUUUUGUUGGGAGGAUUUUUAGAUUUAUAUAACUUUGAAUUUUAUUAACCAAUGAUUUUUGAUUGUUAGAGUUUAAAAUAAUUGAAAGAUUAAAUUACCUUAGGGAUAACAGCGUAAUAUUUUUGGAGAGAUCAUAUUAAUAAAAGUGUUUGCGACCUCGAUGUUGAAUUAAGAUAAAAAUUAAAUGUAGAAGUUUAAUAUUUAAGUUUGUUCAACUUUUAAAAUCUUACGUGAUCUGAGUUC